rnacentral:rRNA from 1 species
CCACCCGGUCACAGUGAGCGGGCAACACCCGGACUCAUUUCGAACCCGGAAGUUAAGCCGCUCACGUUAGUGGGGCCGUGGAUACCGUGAGGA